rnacentral:misc_RNA from 1 species
GAUGAAGAACGUAGCGAAAUGCGAUAAGUAAUGUGAAUUGCAGAAUUCAGUGAAUCAUCGAAUCUUUGAACGCACAUUGCGCCCGCCAGUAUUCUGGCGGGCAUGCCUGUUCGAGCGUCAUUUCAACCCUCAGGACCCUUUGGACCUGGUGUUGGGGCUCGGUCGCUACCCCGCGGCCGUCCCCGAAAGAUAGUGGCGGUCUCGCUGUAGCGUCCUCUGCGUAGUAAUUACACCUCGCACUGGAACGCGGCGCGGCCACGCCGUUAAACACCCCACUUCUCAAGGUUGACCUCGGAUCAGGUAGGAAUACCCGCUGAACUUAAGCAUAUCAAUAAGCGGAGGA